rnacentral:rRNA from 1 species
AACGUAGGAGACGAACGUUAUCCGGAGUUACUGGGCGUAAAGGGCGUGUAGGCGGUUUGUUAAGUCUGGCGUGAAAGCUCUCGGCUAAACCGGGAGAGGUCGUUGGAUACUGGCGAACUAGAGGAUGGUAGAGGCGUGUGGAAUUCCGGGUGUAGUGGUGAAAUGCGUAGAGAUCCGGAGGAACACCAGUGGCGAAGGCGACAUCCUGGACCGGUAUUGACGCUGAGGCGCGAAAGCCAGGGGAGCAAACGGG